rnacentral:miRNA from 1 species
UCUGAUGAGGAUCAUAUAUUGUUCCCUUAGAGAAAAGCUCAAAGACACAUAAAGUCAAGUUAGCAAAGAGAUGACAAAGAUAGGUGUGCAUUCCUAGUGCCUCCCAUUCCUAUUGUGUGUAUAACCCUAACUCAUACCUGUCAUGUU